GACCGGCGCACGGGUGCGUAACGCGUAUGCAACCUACCUGUAACAGGGGGAUAACACUGAGAAAUCGGUACUAAUACCGCAUAACACUAUGAGAGGCAUCUCUUGUGGUUGAAAGUUUCGGCGGUUACAGAUGGGCAUGCGUUGUAUUAGCUGGUUGGUAAGGUAACGGCUUACCAAGGCGACGAUACAUAGGGGGACUGAGAGGUUAACCCCCCACAUUGGUACUGAGACACGGACCAAACUCCUACGGGAGGCAGCAG
rnacentral:rRNA from 1 species